AAGCUACAACAAAGCUAUUAUACCUUUCCGAUAUCAAGCCGUACAAACCUGAAUGGUGGGUCCAAAUCAAAGUCCUUCAUACCUGGAAACAUCGAAGUGAUUAUGGUGAGACCAUGGAAAUCGUUUUUGCUGACAAGAAGGGUAACAAAAUCCAAGCAUCAUGCAAGAAAAACUACUUGCUUAGUUUGGAAACAGAAUGCCGGGUGGGUGAAUGGAUAAACGUUGAAAAUUUUGUGCUGACUACAGCUACCGGUGGAUACCGACCUACCAAUCACCCCUAUAAGAUGUCUUUCAUGAAGUUCACCUCCAUUAUUCAUCCAUAUGAGUACAAUAAUAUCGAUAUGUUCCUGGACUUAGUGGAGUUUGAAAACAUAUUGAGUGGACAGCUAGACAAUAAUCUCUUGAUUGGUAUAUUAUUGAUUUUUCUUAUCACAGUUUCUUUGAUUAUUGUUUAUGGAUAUAACAUUCAUUUUCGUAUGUUGUGGGGCAAGCCAUAUAUAUUGGUGAGAAGUUAACUCUGCAGUGUAGUGGUGGUAAAGAAAAAAAAGAAGAUUGAAUUCACUCUCAGAGACAUAAAUGAUGAGCGCAUACCAUGUUGUCUUUGGGGUAACUUUGCUGAUACUUUGGAAUCCUAUAUAGAAGAAGCACAAUUGGGAGUGGUAGUGUUUUUGAUCCUAUUUGCAAAAAUUGGAUCUUUUAGAACUUGAUAGUAACAAACUCCAACGGUCUCACUAAUUAACCGCCAUAACGGCUCAACGGCCACAGCUCUCUCAUGCCAGUUUGCUACUCUCCUGCCACGUAAACCUUGCUUCUUGAAUGGUUCAGUUCAACAUUGGGCACUUAUCAAAUACCCCUCCUCCCCCCCCCCCCCCCCAAAGCUUCGGAAAUUGUCUCUGGUGAUUGCAGGAACAGAGCCUUUAAACGUUGCAUACCAGAAUGCUCAACGAACGCAGGACUGGAAGGCAGUGAAUCAGCACAAGGUUGCCACUAUGAAGAAUAAAACCAUACUCUUGAUCUCCUUUGCUUAAUCAUAAACUGCUGGUUGUAACAUAGUUCCAUGUAAUAUUUUAAUCGAAAACUUCACUAACC